rnacentral:rRNA from 1 species
AGGCGCUCCGGCGUCACCUUGAGAUGGCCUUGCGGUGCAUUAGCUAGUUGGUGGGGUAACGGCCCACCAAGGCGACGAUGCAUAGCCGACCUGAGAGGGUGAUCGGCCACACUGGGACUGAGACACGGCCCAGACUCCUACGGGAGGCAGCAGUAGGGAAUCUUCCACAAUGGACGAAAGUCUGAUGGAGCAACGCCGCGUGAGUGAUGAAGGUUUUCGGAUCGUAAAACUCUGUUGUAAGGGAAGAACACGUACGAGAGGAAAUGCUCGUACCUUGACGGUACCUUACGAGAAAGCCACGGCUAACUACGUGCCAGCAGCCGCGGUAAUACGUAGGUGGCAAGCGUUGUCCGGAAUUAUUGGGCGUAAAGCGCGCGCAGGCGGCCUUUUAAGUCUGAUGUGAAACCCCCCGGCUCAACCGGGGAGGGCCAUUGGAAACUGGAAGGCUUGACUACAGAAGAGAAGAGUGGAAUUCCACGUGUAGCGGUGAAAUGCCUA